AUUAUUAUUUAAUAGUUGAACUAAUAAUAUGAUGACAUCUGUACAAAUUUGAUAAGAAUAGUUUCUCAAAGUUUCUCCUCCGAAAAAUUUAACUCUCCUUCUCUCCUACUUUUUCUCACCUCUCUCAUAUUUUUUUUUUUUGCUCUUACUACACAAAUACCACAUUAGUAU
rnacentral:sRNA from 1 species